rnacentral:rRNA from 1 species
UACGUAGGGUGCGAGCGUUGUCCGGAAUUAUUGGGCGUAAAGCGCGCGCAGGCGGUCCUUUAAGUCUGAUGUGAAAGCCCACGGCUCAACCGUGGAGGGUCAUUGGAAACUGGGGGACUUGAGUGCAGGAGAGAAGAGUGGAAUUCCACGUGUAGCGGUGAAAUGCGUAGAUAUCGGAAGGAACACCAGUGGCGAAAGCGGCUUCCUGGUCCAGCACCGACGUUCAGGCACGAAAGCGUGGGGAGCAAACAGG